rnacentral:lncRNA from 1 species
UUUAGAACAAGCAAAACUUUUUAUCAAGAAUGACAUUUUUCGCUAAAAUUGAAAAUAAAAAAGUUUUUCUUCUUGGGCACCCCAUCCGUGGACACACUGUAUAUCUUUACUUGUAUUUUUGUUUUAAGUUCAUAUAUUCAGACUUUAAAUACUAAAAAGUAGUCAAAACUUAGAUGGACUAUUUCUACGUCCUUUCUUCUCCAUUUGAAUGGCUUCAAUUUGCUUAAUUGCUACCAGGCUCCAUGCUUACACUCCAUACAAUAAUCUUGUAUAAAUGUAUCUACGUUUUCUCAAAUCGGUAUCAAAGAUCCAGUGAUGGGUGAAUUUUGUUUGCCUUCCCGGACCGCUUUGAGUUUCAAUAUUCAAUUUCAAGUUUCAAAUUUGGUUGAUCAAGAUAGGCUGUUGUCCAACAGUUUACUCUAUUCGCUUAGUGCAUACAAAGAUGCUAUUUCUGCGAUUUCGAUUCCAUAUGAUAACUAUUAGUUCUGUUGAUAUCUAUAUAUCCUCCUCCUCUUUAGUCCUAAUUUCUUACAGAAGUAUAAUGACUCCAUCAAUUUUUUUUACAAUUUCCCUAUAUCCUUCUCUAUCCUGAGCUAGCUGUUUAGCUUCUUGUAAACCUAUGUUAAUCAGUAUUUGUUAUUGAUCCAUCCAACGAAUUGAAGAGCUUCCCCUAGGUUUUUUUCCUUCAACUCUGCCCUCGAGUAUCAGUUUUCCAUCAUACCUAUUCUUCUGGCAAUGCGUCCAAAAUACUGUAAAUAUUACAAAAACAUGUAAGUACUAGCAAAUGUUAUAAUAAAUGGAUAUUAAAAAAUGUUCUAAUAAACAUCUUUUCUAAUUCCAUGCAGAAUUGCCAAAAGGUUUCAAGAAUUCGAGAUUUAUUUUUCAAGUAUAUUAGGACCUAUAAAUUUUAAUAUAGUAUAAAAGUUUUGAUGACUCUGUAACGGAGACUAUUAAGCACAAAGAUUGUGUUGAACCAGGUUCUAAGGUUCUUUAACCAGGAUGUUCUUCUCUUUGGACCUCGCUUUAGAAAUAUUUUUCCUUUCAGGGUUGCUUAUAAGAGGGCAUAUCUGGAUUUAUUUCGCAUAAUCUGUCCGAAGUAUUGUCCAAACUUUCGAGAUUUAAUAGUGGUCAGACCCUACAUUCUUCUGAGGACCUUGUCAUUUGUGACUCAGUCAGUAAACGGGAUCUUGCCGAUGUAGGCACAUCUCAAAUGCUUCCAAUCUUCUGCAUAUAUCUGAAGGUCCACGAUUUAACACCAUAAAAAAAUAGUUCAUAAAAUUUUGAUAACCUGUUGUAACGUUCUUUAAAUAAAACUAGCGGUUCGGAUGUAUAUAAGUCUAUUUUUUAUUUACAAGCUUACAGUUCGACAUUAUCUUAUGAACUAACUCUACUUACAACAGCGUGCCUAUUUAUACCAUAAGUAGGUAAUGCAUUAUUUGUAGAAAAAUCGAGAACGACCUGCUCAUCUCUAGCGUCACAUGGACUGGCCGCUGCUCGCACGUCGGCUGUUCGUCGGCGGAACUCUCUAGAGUAUACCGAGUUGGAAUCGUUAUUCGGGGUAGGUCCGAAAUAACUUUUUUCGAUACAAUAUUUUAUACCUUAUAAGGGUAGUAAAACUAUCAUGCUCCGUUUGAUUCUCACAGGAAUGUAAUAGACUGUUCGGUGACCUCCAAACAUAAAACCUAUUAAGUACUUAUUAGCGAGGGGAUAAAAAGAGGAGGGCUAGUUCGAUCGAAAUUGAGGACACGUCGAUCCUGUACAUAGAGGCAACUCAAACGUAGAAAGAUCUCUAAUUUCGAUCGAUCGGGUAUAAAGAUUUAAUGUGAACUUUUCGUAUUGACCCUGUAACUGUAUUUUUAUGAGAGAGUUGUUCUGUAGGUUAAUAAAUAUAUAAUGUAUUUUAUUAUAUAUCAUAAAGAGAUCGCCAGUUACGAGGGGAUACGAGAAGUGUACGUUACUAUAUAUGUAACUAUUUUUUGAGUCCUUAGUAUAGGAUUCUGCUUUUUUAAGUUAUGUACUAUAUUAUUAAUAAAGAUAAAAUGUCUAUUUUGAUUGAAUUAUAUGUAUGUUAUUAAGGGCUUGAUCUGUAUAUUUUUAUUGUUCCAUUGGCCCAUUUAAAGUAUAUAAGAUCUCAAAAAAUGUUAAAAACCCAAUAAAAAUAUAUAAAAUAUACAAACAUUUCUGA